CGGCGGACGGGUGAGUAACACGUGGAUAACCUACCUAUAAGACUGGGAUAACUUCGGGAAACCGGAGCUAAUACCGGAUAAUAUAUUGAACCGCAUGGUUCAAUAGUGAAAGACGGUUUUGCUGUCACUUAUAGAUGGAUCCGCGCCGCAUUAGCUAGUUGGUAAGGUAACGGCUUACCAAGGUGACGAUGCGUAGCCGACCUGAGAGGGUGAUCGGCCACACUGGAACUGAGACACGGUCCAG
rnacentral:rRNA from 1 species